rnacentral:snoRNA from 2 species
UGCGCAGGACUUGUCUAGACAGGCAUACAAAAACUUGUGUUACUUGCCACCUGGACUUUCCUGCUAGAUCAGUUUAAGAAAAAUGGGCAGUUGAGUUAGGCCAGAUGUCUUAUGGUUUCCUCAACAAUCAUUUUUCUUAUAUUG